rnacentral:rRNA from 1 species
UACGUAGGGACCGAGCGUUGUCCGGAAUCAUUGGGCGUAAAGAGCGUGUAGGCGGCCACUUAAGUCCUGCGUGAAAUCUUGCGGCUCAACCGCAAGCGGUCGUGGGAAACUGGGUGGCUAGAGUGCGGUAGAGGGGUGUGGAAUUCCCGGUGUAGCGGUGAAAUGCGUAGAGAUCGGGAGGAACACCAGUGGCGAAGGCGGCACCCUGGACCAGCACUGACACUGAGGCACGAAAGCGUGGGGAGCAAACAGG